UACGAAGGGGGCUAGCGUUGCUCGGAAUCACUGGGCGUAAAGCGCACGUAGGCGGCUUGUUAAGUCAGGGGUGAAAUCCUGGAGCUCAACUCCAGAACUGCCUUCGAUACUGGGAGUCUCGAGUCCGGGAGAGGUGAGUGGAACUGCGAGUGUAGAGGUGAAAUUCGUAGAUAUUCGCAAGAACACCAGUGGCGAAGGCGGCUCACUGGCCCGGUACUGACGCUGAGGUGCGAAAGCGUGGGGAGCAAACAGG
rnacentral:rRNA from 1 species